CGUAUGGUGCAAGCGUUAUCCGGAUUUACUGGGUGUAAAGGGAGCGCAGGCUGUGCGGCAAGUCUGAUGUGAAAGCCCGGGGCUCAACCCCGGUACUGCAUUGGAAACUGUCGUACUAGAGUGUCGGAGGGGUAAGUGGAAUUCCUAGUGUAGCGGUGAAAUGCGUAGAUAUUAGGAGGAACACCAGUGGCGAAGGCGGCUUACUGGACGAUAACUGACGCUGAGGCUCGAAAGCGUGGGGAGCAA
rnacentral:rRNA from 1 species